rnacentral:lncRNA from 1 species
AGGAGAUGGACUACUGGAGUCUCCGCUGGAUGAUCAUGAAUGGCUACAUAUCCCUUCAGUAGGAACGCUCUUGUCAGCAGAAUAAUGGCGAGCAACCUUUCGUUUGUCUCCUACAACUUCGUACCCUCUCUUCCCCUCUUCUUCCUGCUCUGAAUGCUCCCCAUCGAGAAGCUGCUCUCCCCUCCCCACACCUCUCAGUGGGCAAGGUACUUGAGGUAGAUGGCCGCUCAGCGUAACACAGCGGCGCCUGCUUGCAGUCGGCAUGAUAAGAAGAAAGGAGUGGAGAGAAGGACACAACUUAAACCAUUAUAGGACGGGCACAGGUGUGUACUUGCUCCGUUACGUCCAGGGAGACGACGACAGAGGAACCUUCACUAGACGUGAAUUAAAGUAAGCUUACAAGAAAACCUCACCUCCAACCUAAAAGGAACAGGCGGCACCGUGCAAGAGGCUCUCGCCGCUAACCCAUAGGAUUAGGGGGGCUCCUUCUUCAAACUUAGCCCUCAAAGAAUUAUCAAAAAAAAUUAAAAAUGAAAGCUUUUAGAAAGUUAGUUUAAUUCACUAAUCGCAUAAUUUUAUAGAUUUAAAUAUUGUAAAGCUCUUCAUCAUCCUAAUUAAGU